rnacentral:lncRNA from 1 species
CGGGUAUUUCUUAUCCACGGAUACGCGGGUAUGGGUACUAUUAUUCCACACCCGUACCCGCCAUACCCGAUGGGUAAAGGAUUUCGCCCAAUAACGUACCUGCGGGUACAAAAUCUAUUCCAUACCCACGUUCUUAUCCGGUAAAGCCCGUCGGAUACUCGGGUUUUGGGUACCCAUUGCCAUUUUGAGUGGCAGCUAGGGUUGGCCGUAAUGGCGUUAUUCAGUGGCCAUAACUUUCUGGGUCAUAUUGGAUGAUGAAUAAAGAAGUCAAAAAUGCUGGCGUGCAAAUAAGGGGUUCUUCUACUCCUAGUCGUGGUGUCUCUGUUCAAUAUCGAGGUGGUCAAGGUGGACGUGCACAAAAGCCGCCUAUUGUUUUAUGUUGUGCUACGAUGCGUGUCAAUGAGGAAACAUGCCGAACGUAAAAGGUUUGUUGUUUGCUUUCAUGUGUGUUACAUGGUGUUGUCCUUUUAUUUUUUUUUCACAACAGCGAGGCCUAUUAGUCUAAUGAAAAUACAAGAAUAUUUGACACUAUUGGAGGUUGGUUCGGUAAGGGUUUAGAGUUUAGGGUUUAUUGACAGGGUUUAGAUGCACCUGGGAGGCGAAAAGAGAGGUGGGGAGGGAGGGGAAGUGGCAUCUCGAUGCGGGAGGGAGCGAGAGGAACUAGGUGAUGCCGAGAGAGAUUGACCGGUGAAAGGAAAAUAAAUUUGCUAUAAAGUAGAAAUCGGUUUCUUUUUUCUUUUUUUUAUUAUUUUUGGGUCAUGCGUCCUAAGAUUUUGAGUGCCCUCCGGCGAAUUCGUCAUGAUGGCCCAUGUAGAUCAUAAAAUCUUAUACUUCGCUUGUCUUAAAAGUCAUGACUGAAAGUACUAUUCAUUAAUUUAUUAUGAGAGAAAAAUACUACUGAAUAGCUGCCAGAUUCAGCAGAUAAGAUCACUAUUUUUUUAAGAAAAACAUAACUAUAUGAGUACAGUGUACUAGACAAAAAUUGAACAAGAAAAAAACCUAAGACCUAUACAAUUUAGACAUAAAUUGAUUUAGAACCUAAAUUCAUAAAUCACAAAAAGAGCACAAGGACAAAAGGCUUUGCCUCAGCUAGUUAGUUGCCUAGUCACUGUCGUCGUCUACAACAUCGUUGUUUGAUUCUAGAAGUCGGGCGUUGAACGUUGAUGAUCGUCGCUGGUGAUGCUGAUCGUGUGGUGAUCUGAUCGGUGUUGCGUGCCUAUGUAUCGCUGGCUCACCAAGUGCCGAAAUGUGAAACAGAGAAGUCACGAUCACUAUGUGUCAUGUACGGGCUGUGGAUAUUGACGACUCGGCUCCUCGUCUCCUAGAAAGAAAGAGGCGCAUGUGCUCUCGAUCGUCGCACCUGCCCACCCCUUAGAACCAG